rnacentral:sRNA from 1 species
UAAUAGCCCCGAUUGAAGUGGAAAUCCUUUUUUGAAAAAAAAGAUUGUAACAAAAAGCGGGAUCAAGC